GGGAGUGUAGCUCAGUGGUAGAGUGCUUGCCUAGCAUGCAUGAAGGACUGGGUUCAAUUCCUCAGUACCA
rnacentral:tRNA from 1 species